GAAACUGAGUAGGAAAGUGAUAUGUAUAGUUGUGUGUGUGUAUAUAUAUAUAUAUAGAGAGAGAGAGAGUGGUGAUCUCUUGCCCAACGGUGAGCAAGAGAAUUUAUCCACACUUCGUGAAACGCUCAUCAAACUCUCUCUCAUCCUACUAUGUCACUAGAGCACACCAUAUCAUUUCAGUUCAUUUUCUCUCUCUGUCUCGAUCGAUCCUUCAUUCCUCUCUCUGUAAGCUAAGGUUUCAUAAAACAUAUAUAUUUCAUCUCCUCUCCCUCUCCCUCUCCCUCUCCCUCUCCCUCUCUUACAGAUAUUCUCUGUGUUCAUGUUCUUCUAACACAACGCUAAUCUAGGGCUUAUCUUUGUGUUGAUGGAUUGAGUUUCUGAAUCGAUCAAUUAAGGAGCCAUUAAACGUGUUUUGGAGCUCUGAGAGACACACUUAGAUUGCAUUUUAUCAAAGUCCUACAUAAUCGAUCUUCCAGUCUCCAACUCACUACUCUCUCUCUAGGGUUUUCACAGCUCCAAGCACAACGUCCAUGAGCACCAUCUGGCUUGCUUCUUUUUAGCAACUAAUAUCUGAUGUCAGCUAUUGUUAUGGAAUGUAUGUCAUUGGGACUUGAAGUUGGAAAAUACCUUGUUGGAUGGCAGCCCUACUCCUCGCUUGAUUGUGACAGAUUGACACUUGCGAUGGUUUCUAUUGUGAGAGCUUCAAACCCAAGAAAAACUAUAGACGAAGGUUCGGGGUGACCUGUGGUUGCGGGAAAACGCAUACAGUGAGAGUGAUGCAUGGGACUUAUUUUAUUUUAACGUAUAUUGUUUGCAAGGGCGAGUACCCCCUCGAUGAUAUUCCGGGAAGUGAGGAAAUUGUUGCGUUGGUUCGCUGCUGGCCAGAUCAUGAGUAUAUCUCAUUUCAUUCGAUCUUGAUGAAACUGAAGUAGUUUGAGUGAAUCUGCUUCUUAGAAUCCUGAAGUUUGAGUGAUGCUGCUCUUGGAACCCUUCAACAAAAACAAAAGAUAUUCAGUGAAAAGAAUGGUAUUAGGCUCAACUCUAGUGGUACAGGUGGAAAUCUGUAGCGUAUCACUCAUGUUCAUUAUAUUACAUGCUUGUGUAUAAGUAUGUUUACACGACUCUGCUUGUGUAGUAAAACUAUUCUAGGGAUUUAUAAUUAAUAGCUGUAAAUGGUUAUAUACUUUGCUGCAAUAUUACAAACUACUGAAGAAAACUACCUAAAUCUUGAAGGCAAUAUAUUGAUGCAGAUAUAUAAUAUAUACUGUGUUUUCACAGCCCACAAAAAAUGGGAAACAAGAUUAGAAUAGUAAGAAAUCUUACCAUUGGCAUUGUAGGAUGUUUACAUGAACUUUGAGCGAGGGCAUUACUGCAACUUUCAGGAGCAGACGAGGGGGUGGAUCUAAUACUCUUUUUUCUUGGAAAUAUGAAAUCUAAUGCUAGUUUGGUUGGAAGAAGGAUUGAGGAGAGUGGGAUGAGAGAAGGGAUAGAUGAUGCUUCUCAUAUUUGGUUGGAGGGAAAAGAGGAGAUUGGUGAAGCAUCCUCGAUUCCCUCAUAGCCUCUUUGUUUGUUUAAAUUUU